rnacentral:lncRNA from 1 species
GAUUCAUGUCAGAAGAAUGGGAUUAAUGUUAGAGAAUGGGAUUAAUGUUAGGAGAAUGGGAUUAAUGUUAGGAGAAUGGGAUUAAUGUCAGAAGAAUGGGAUUAAUGUUAGGAGAAUGGGAUUAAUGUUAGGAGAAUGGUAUUAAUGUUCGGGAGAAUGGGAUAUUAAUGUCAGGGAGAAUGGGUAUUAAUGUUGGCUAAUGGGAUUAA